UCCGGUUGAUCCUGCCGGACCCUACUGCUAUCGGGAUGGGACUAAGACAUGCUAGUCGUGCGCUUCUAAGCCAUGGUGGAGGCGCGGCGCACAGCUCAGUAACACGUGGUUGACCUGCCCUUGGGACGGAAACACCCCCGGGAAACUGGGGCUAAUUUCCGAUGGGUGAAGACUCCUGGAAUGGAUCUUCGCCUAAAGGGCGCUUGGGCCAUGCUUCUAGGCGCUGCCCAAGGAUGGGACCGCGGCCGAUCAGGUUGUUGGUGAGGUAAUGGCUCACCAAGCCUUUAACCGGUUCGGGCCGUGGGAGCGGGAGCCCGGAGAUGGGCACUGAGACAAGGGCCCAGGUCCUACGGGGCGCAGCAGUCGCGAAAACUCCGCAAUACGCGAAGGCGUGACGGGGCUAUCCCGAGUGCCGUCCGCUGAGGAUGGCUUUUCCCCAGUGUAGAUAGCUGGGGGAAUAAGGAGAGGGCAAGUCUGGUGUCAGCCGCCGCGGUAAUACCAGCUCUCCGAGUGGUGGGGACGUUUAUUGGGCCUGAAGCAUCCGUAGCCAGCUGAGCAAGUCCCCAGUUAAAUCCAGCGAUU
rnacentral:rRNA from 1 species